GGAUUAGAUACCCUGGUAGUCCACGCCCUAAACGAUGCACACUAGAUGUUGGCGGCCUAGCCGUCAGUGUCGUAGCUAACGCGUUAAGUGUGCCGCCUGGGAAGUACGAUCGCAAGAUUAAAACUCAAAGGAAUUGACGGGGACCCGCACAAGCGGUGGAGCAUGUGGUUUAAUUCGAAGCAACGCGCAGAACCUUACCUACCCUUGACAUAGGAGUCGCGGAUUAUAGAGAUAUUUUCCUUCAGUUUGGCUGGACUCCAUACAGAUGCUGCAUGGCUGUCGUCAGCUCGUGCCG
rnacentral:rRNA from 1 species